rnacentral:rRNA from 1 species
CCCAGACUCCUACGGGAGGCAGCAGUGGGGAAUAUUGCACAAUGGGGGGAACCCUGAUGCAGCGACGCCGCGUGGGUGAAGGAGUACUUCGGUACGUAAAGCCCUAUCAGCAGGAAAGAAAAUGACGGUACCUGACUAAGAAGCCCCGGCUAACUACGUGCCAGCAGCCGCGGUAAUACGUAGGGGGCAAGCGUUAUCCGGAUUUACUGGGUGUAAAGGGAGCGUAGACGGCAGUGCAAGUCCGGAGUGAAAGCCCGGGGCUCAACCCUGGGACUGCUCUGGAAACUGUAAAGCUGGAGUGCGGGAGGGGCAGGCGGAAUUCCUGGUGUAGCGGUGAAAUGCGUAGAUAUUAGGAGGAACACCAGUGGCGAAGGCGGCCUACUGGACGGUGACUGACGCUGAGGCUCGAAAGCGUGGGGAGCAAACAGGAUUAGAUACCCUAGUAA